CCGCGUCGUAGAGCUCGUCGGCGAGCUCCUGGGGCAUGCGGCGCUCCGUCUCGAGGUAGUCCUCCGCGGCGAGGAUCUUCUCCUCGAAGCCGC
rnacentral:tRNA from 1 species